rnacentral:rRNA from 1 species
CACGGAGUUAGCCGAUGCUUUUUCUUCGGGUACUCUCGACUCCGCCACACGUGGCGGAAUUUGCUCCCCGACAAAAGAGGUUUACAACCCGUAGGGCCGUCAUCCCUCACGCGACUUGGCCUGGUUCAGGCUCGCGCCCAUUGACCAAUAUUCCUCACUGCUGCCUCCCGUAGGAGUCUGGUCCGUGUCUCAGUACCAGUGUGGGGGACCUUCCUCUCAGAACCCCUAGACAUCGUCGCCUUGGUGGCCGUUGCCCCGCCAACUAGCUAAUGUCACGCAUGCCCAUCCGUUGCCGGAAUCGCUUCCUUUGGCCGCAGGGCCAUGCAGCCCCGCGGCGUUACGCGGUACUUAGACGGGAUUUCGUCCCGAUUAUCCCCCUGCAACGGGCAGGUCGCAUACGCGUUACUCACCCGUGCGCCGGUCGCCGGUCGGCAAGGAUUGCUCCUCGCCCCGAUCGCCCCUCGACUUGCAUGUGUUAGGCCUGUCGCUAGCGUUCAUCCUGAGCCAGGAUCGAAACU